rnacentral:rRNA from 1 species
AUUCCAGCUCCAAUAGCGUAUAUUAAAGUUGUUGCAGUUAAAAAGCUCGUAGUUGGAUUUCUGUUUUGAAUGUCCGGUCGGUCAGUUUCUGAUGUGUACUUUGGAUAUUCGAAGCAUUCUUUGUGAGGGUCCUUGACUGGCAUUAAGUUGUUGGUUUUGGAAGCUUGCAUCGUUUACUGUGAAAAAAUUAGAGUGUUUCAAGCAGGCGUUUGCUUUUGAAUACAUUAGCAUGGAAUAAUAAGAUACGACUAGCGUGGUCUAUUUUGUUGGUUUGCACACGCAAGUAAUGAUUAAUAGGGACAGUCAGGGGCACUCGUAUUCCGCCGAGAGAGGUGAAAUUCUCAGACCAGCGGAAGACGAACCACCGCGAAAGCAUUUGCCAGGGAUGUUUUCAUUA